GGUGGGACAUUGCUGAAGGAAGUAGGCAAUUAGCGACAUUUCCUUGAAGAGUGUCUUGUCUCUUACCCUUCAUGUCUGCCUCUCUUUGCUUAACGGCUGCUAUAAGUUAAUAGUUUUCUUCUGCAGUACCCUUCCUCUGUGACAUUUCGGUUAUUCCCUGGCCAAGAAACAGGGGGCCAUCUGGCCAUAGACUGAAAUAUUUCAGAAUUGUGAGCCCAGGUCAAAUCUUCCUACUUUAAACUGUUUAUCUUUUGUGUUUGUCACAGUCACGAAAAAACGUCUAGCCACAAGCAUCCCUGAACUUCGUCAAUGGAGCAGCUUCUUUAACUCUGCAGGGGCCAAAGGUCAAGGCAGCAAAGUUGGUAAAAGGAGCCUAACAAGUUUUUACAGAGCUGCUGAUACGGAUGGAUAUCAUACAGUUUCUGUUUGAGCUUGACAUGCACACUCACUGAUGGAGGCGAUAGUGAACAAUGGACUGGCUGGCAGGGCCUCCUCCUUUCAGGGCCGGGAAAGUGGCACAGGAGGAGGAAGAGAGUGGUACAUCUGAAAUAUCGAAUCUGCUGUGCUAAAGUCAGCAAGUGUCAAUCCCUGUGCAAUAAGGCGUUUGGUAAUUGAUGGCUGAAUCGUCUCUCUCCCGUUUCAGGGAAUCACCUCCUGCACUUGAGUCUUUGUUUCUGGAACAUGACCCAUACAUAUGUGGAUAAAAGUUUCUCUAGGUUGGAAAAAGAAAUUCCACAGAUAACUCAGAUCUAAACCAGCCGGGUAGCAGAGAGUUGACGGUGCCAUACUUAAUUGACGGUGGAGGGGGGAACCUCAAGUUACAUGCCUUUUCGCUGAAGUUCUGUAUUAGCUGUUUGCUUGGAAGGGCAGAUGUUUUGGCUCUGGUGGUCACUGCUCACCUCUGUCUGGGAGGUGCAUCAAUCACUUUAAUUAUAAUGGAACAUGGGGCCAGGAACCGAAGGAGAAAAAUCAACCCAAUCCCAAGAACAAUCUUUCUUGAUGAAUUCUCCCCUAAAUCGAAACAAUUCACUGGGUAUCCCAGCUGGGGUUCAUAUGCUUUUGAUUACUGUGGGCUAUUUAGCUCUACAAAAUGACAGGCUGCUUAAUGGGCUUUUAAUGGUUAUAGGUUUCUCUCUCUCUUUUUUAAUGAGCUUCACCAGUUUGUUACUAAUGCCCUGUAGAAAUUUGGCGAGGGUCCAGACUUGAUGCUACACAUUUCUGGUUUCGAGGCAGCAAACAUCCAACCUUCCUUGCCAGUGGGGAAGUAUGCUACCAGCCUUAAGGUAGAGCCAUCAGGGUAGGGAGAAGAGGCAAGGUAAUAAACACCCUGUGUGCCUAAUGAUUGUCAUCCCAGAGAAGGUGGUUGCACUUUGCAGCUGAGCUUCCCUUGAAGGCUACUUGCUAAAAGCCCCUGGGGUAGCAGAUGGCAGGACUGGCUGUGUUGCCAAUGCUUUGCCUGCUAAUGUGAUUUCUGCAUUGUUGGUAAAAGUGACCCUUACAGGCUUAGAUGUAUCCUGCUCAGCAAUGGAUUUUAUACCAUCAUGCUUGUAUCCUCAGUGCCUAGUGCCCAUAGGGGAUGACUGAGAAUGAGAAGUCCCAGACAAGAGGGAAGUGUUGGGAAGAUCUUUAUCCACUGACUUUUGGGGUCUCAAUCAUGAAGCAUAAAAUCUGGGUGAAGAGAAGACUGGGCAGUGAAUGAGAAACUAGGAAAGGAAGGGACAUCCAUGGUCAUUCAUAAUAGCAACUGCAUCUAUUACCCCUUGUGCCCCCUACAUUAUGCUAAAAACACUUUGUGCACCGAUUUCACUAAAUCCUCAGGCCAAAGCUAGGAGACAGGCGAUGGUGUACUGGUGAUGAUCAGUACCCUCGCAGAUGAGCAGCUAGGGAAAUGCCUGAGCAUGGAGCAUUUGGUGACUUCUGUGGUAAGAACUUCAAGCCCAGCCCAUUUCGUACUACCAACAUGAUGUAAACUGCAUUGCAAAGUAAUAGAAGACUUACAUUUGUGAUGCUCUGUGGAUAUACCACUGCAAGUUUCGUGACCUGAAGUUCCCAAGAGGAAGCUGUAACUACAUUGAAUGUUACACAAACCUGAUCGAUUGAUUGCCACAAGCUGAUCACCGUGUCACUCAUAUCAUGUGACUCCAGGAAAGACUAUCUCUUUUGCCCUUUGAAGAGAGAACUGGGUUUUCUAUACUGACAAUAGGCACCAAUAACCUCCCCUUACGGUUGCACCAGAAAAGCAGCAAUGAAGUUAAAUAACAGGUUAAUGUCAUAGAGGAAGCUGAAAACAGCCUCCAGGGCCAGGGUGAUUCUAAGGAUUGGGUUCUGGUCUGUAUGGCUUCCCUAAACCAUUCACACACCAUUGAAGGAGCUACAGAGCUAGGCAAUGUGGUCCUACUCACAGAAAGGCCAGUCUGACUCCCCAGGGAGUCUUGGAGGUAACAGGUGACAUUCAUGUAUCUGUAGAACUUAUGGUUCAUUUGUUCCCAGCUGCUGGGGUCCGGCCUUGUAUCAGUCCUACACUAUAGGGGCCAUCUAUUCUGGACUUAUGUCACUGGGGCUGUGCUCGGAACCAGCCGAACAGCCCCGGGUCCAACCCUGAGUGGGGGAGUGUGAAUCAGGGAAGGCAUAACCACCCAAGGGACAUUAAGAAACAGAGACAUCUUGCCAUUUUCAGGAGGGCUCUCAGUCUAUACUGGAGACACCGGUUUAUUCAAGCAUCCUCUUAAAUAGCUUUCUAGAAGCAGGGGUACUGCCAGAAGACAUCUAUUGUCAUGUAUAUAGGGCUGACUAGGAAACACUUCCUUUAACCCUAGAGACGGUCCUAGAAUGCACAUACACAAAUCCUCAGACCUCUGGAAACACAGGUCUCACCAGUCCUCAGGUGUGCCUCACAGGCCCCCAGGAAUGUCCUCAUGAUGGGUGUGGGGCCUAGAUCUAUUGUUAUGCAAACUAUAAGUCAUUCUCCACUGUGGCCAGGCCAGCCUCAGGUAACCAGGAGUACCGAGCUCCUGGAAUUGAGCUGAGGUCUAUAUUGAAAUAUCAAUAUUUGUGCCCCGAGACCCAGCCCCAUUCUUUAUUUACUUAGUUUCUGCUUUAUUGCUUGGCAGUUUCAUAUGUUUAAAUAAUGAAUUUUAGUCAUUCCCCUCCCUCUUUUUUUUUUAAGGUCCCUUUCUCAUUGACAUACUUCUCCAUAUCAGGUAUCAUUCCUACCUUUAUGUCUUCUUUUUAUAUGUGGCCUGCUGAGCUUGAUUGCAGUUUCUUGCCUUGGCAUGGGUAGGGGCUUAUUUACUGGAACAAGGUCAACUUAUCAGUAGUUACACCACUGAAGAAAAUAAUACUCCCCCUGUCCUUUCAUGAACAGCUCCUAGCUACCAAAAGCUGGUUUUGAUGAGGCAAGAAAGAUCUCUCUCAAAGACGAUAAGAGCCAGUUUAUUUUGAAGCCAAAUAUGAGUAACCAUGGUCCUAGAACAGGAUUCAGGUUCCCCAAAUUCCAUGCUCCAGUGUGGUAGCAGUUUCAUGACGUUUUUAUACUAACAAUAAAGUCACAUAUCAACAUGUUUUCAAA